rnacentral:rRNA from 1 species
AACGAACGCUGGCGGCGUGCCUAACACAUGCAAGUCGCGCGCGAAGGGCUUCGGCCUUGUAGAGCGGCGCACGGGUGAGUAACACGUGGAUAAUCUACCCUCAGAUUUGGAAUAACCCAGGGAAACUUGGGCUAAUACCGAAUAAGACCACAAGAUGAAAAUCUAGUGGGAAAAGCGGAGGACCUCUUCGGAGGCUUCGCGUCAGAGGAUGAGUCCGCGUCCCAUCAGCUAGUUGGCGGGGUAAUGGCCCACCAAGGCUAAGACGGGUAGCUGGUCUGAGAGGAUGAUCAGCCACACUGGAACUGAGACACGGUCCAGACUCCUACGGGAGGCAGCAGUGGGGAAUCUUGCGCAAUGGGGAAACCCUGACGCAGCAACGCCGCGUGAGUGAUGAAGGUCUUCGGAUCGUAAAGCUCUGUCGGCAGGAACGAUGGACAAUGUGGCUAACAUCCACGCUGUCUGACGGUACCUGCAAAGGAAGCACCGGCUAACUCUGUGCCAGCAGCCGCAGUAAAAC